UACAGAGGUCCCGAGCGUUGUUCGGAUUCACUGGGCGUAAAGGGUGCGUAGGUGGCGAGGUAAGUCGGAUGUGAAAUCUCCAAGCUUAACUUGGAAAUGGCAUUGGAAACUACCUGGCUAGAGGUUUGGAGGGGGGACUGGAAUGCUUGGUGUAGCAGUGAAAUGCGUAGAUAUCAAGCGGAACACCGGUGGCGAAGGCGGCCUUCUGGACAGUGACUGACGCUGAGACGCGAAAGCGUGGGGAGCAAACAGG
rnacentral:rRNA from 1 species